rnacentral:rRNA from 1 species
AACGUAGGAGGCUAGCGUUAUCCGGAUUUACUGGGCGUAAAGCGCGUGCAGGCGGUCAGUUAAGUUAGGCGUGAAAUCUCUCGGCUUAACCGGGAGGGGUCGCAUAAUACUGGCUGACUUGAGGGUAGGAGAGGGAAGCGGAAUUCCCGGUGUAGCGGUAAUAUGCGCAGAUAUCGGGAGGAACACCAGUGGCGAAGGCGGCUUCCUGGCCUGCUCCUGACGCUAAGACGCGAAAGCUAGGGGAG